rnacentral:rRNA from 1 species
CCCUUAGAUGUUCUGGGCCGCACGCGCGCUACACUGACGAAGUCAGCGAGCAUGUCCUACGCCGACAGGUGCGGGGAAUCUUGUCAAACUUCGUCGUGAUGGGGAUUGAUUAUUGAAAUUCUUGAUCAUCAACGAGGAAUUCCUAGUAAGCGCAAGUCAGCAGCUUGCGUUGAUUACGUCCCUGCCCUUUGUACACACCGCCCGUCGCUACUACCGAUUGAAUGGUUUAGUGAGAUCUUCGGAUUGGCGCCACUGCGGCUCUGCAAUGGGCUCGGUGGAUGCCGAAAAGUUGAUCAAACUUGAUCAUUUAGAGGAAGUAAAAGUCGUAACA